AAAGUGACAAAAUAUGGAGAAGCUGAAGAGAUAUGAACACUUUUGCAAGCCACUGUCUAAAUCUGCUCCCUAUAAUUGAUUACUUCUGUUAAUUAUUCAUUGUUUUACCGUGAAUGUUGCUACUAGUUUUUGUCUGUUUUAAUAUGUGUUCUGGCGAACUGCCAGGUAGCCACUCCCCUCUGCAGCACCUUUCUGCUGCACCUUUCUACAGCAGAAGGCUUCUCUCCUGGUUAGUGAUGAGAACUAGGUGGACUCAAUCUCCUAGCGAUCAGAGAGUGCAGGUACUUUUGGUGUGACUGACGUCUCACUCCUGAUAGAAGAAGCGCCACAGCAUGAGAAGCAAACAGUGCUGGUAGCACAUGAAUUCAGAACUGUGCAAAGGUUUUCUACAAACUGUGAAGGACGGCCGGUAAGCCUCACAAUGAGGUUGCUCAUUUCCUGAGUCUCAUUGGAGCAGCACAUGGACUCUGAUUGAUUGUUGUACGGAACAGUUUUAAUAUUCAAAUCAAAUCAAGUUUUUCACCUAUGUGGCUGGAAGGCUAAAAACUAUGAUGACCAUCAUA